UCUUCCAAUGAUGUUUGCGUGAUAAGCUGCGUCGGGCCCGGUUAGUACUUAGAUGGGUGACCGCUUGGGAACACCGGGUGUUGCAGGCA
rnacentral:rRNA from 1 species